UGGGGAAUAUUGCACAAUGGGCGCAAGCCUGAUGCAGCCAUGCCGCGUGUAUGAAGAAGGCCUUCGGGUUGUAAAGUACUUUCAGCGGGGAGGAAGGGAGUAAAGUUAAUACCUUUGCUCAUUGACGUUACCCGCAGAAGAAGCACCGGCUAACUCCGUGCCAGCAGCCGCGGUAAUACGGAGGGUGCAAGCGUUAAUCGGAAUUACUGGGCGUAAAGCGCACGCAGGCGGUUUGUUAAGUCAGAUGUGAAAUCCCCGGGCUCAACCUGGAAUCUGCAUCUGUAACUGGCAAGCUUGAGUCUCGUAGAGGGGGGUAGAAUUCCAGGUGUAGCGAUGAAAUGCGUAGAGAUCUGGAGGAAUACCGGUGGCGAAGGCGGCCCCCUGGACGAAGACUGACGCUCAGGUGCGAAAGCGUGGGGAGCAAACAGG
rnacentral:rRNA from 1 species